CCUACGUGUGGCAGCAGUGAGGAAUAUUGGUCAAUGGGCGCGAGCCUGAACCAGCCAAGUAGCGUGAAGGAUGACUGCCCUACGGGUUGUAAACUUCUUUUAUAAAGGAAUAAAGUGAGGCACGUGUGCCUUUUUGUAUGUACUUUAUGAAUAAGGAUCGGCUAACUCCGUGCCAGCAGCCGCGGUAAUACGGAGGAUCCGAGCGUUAUCCGGAUUUAUUGGGGUUAAAGGGAGCGUAGGUGGGUUGUUAAGUCAGUUGUGAAAGUUUGCGGCUCAACCGUAAAAUUGCAAUUGAUACUGGCAGUCUUGAGUACAGGUGAGGUAGGCGGAAUUCGUGGUGUAGCGGUGGAAUGCUUAGAUAUCACGAAGAACACCGAUUGCGAAGGCAGCUUACUAAACUGCCACUGACAUUGAGGCUCGAAAGUGUGGGUAUCAAACAGGAUUAGAUACCCCUGUAGUC
rnacentral:rRNA from 1 species